UUAAAAAGCUUACUGGAGAGACAAAUGUAAACUAUAGCUAGGUGCGCUCACGUUAGACAGUUAUGUGCUGAAUCUAAUUUGAAAUGGAUAAGUGCUAACACAUUUAAUUUCCUGCAUACUCAGUGAGACAAUGUUCGUUUUUUUUUAAACAGUAAUUUUGAGUGAGCCUUUCAAAGUGCUUGAGUCAGCACCACUGCAAGAGUGUUUGGAAAGAUGAUCAUGCAAAUGGAACUUCAAGUGAUUUAAUAUGCUCACCAUCACAGACUGGAAACUUGAAAUCUAAGAGAAAUAGCAUGUGUGGUACUAGUCACCAGAGGAGGGAAAUCAUAUAGCUAUGUGGAAAAGGAUGCAACUCUGAGUUCAGGUUCAGUCAAAGAGGAGAAGCAAGUACCACACUAAUAGGCUCAUGUGAGAGAGACAAAAGCCAUUCCAUGAGGCCCAAAAUUCAGUAAUGGAAGGAUCAGCAGUUCAGGCUUUUUACCAGGUUGUUUUAAAUGUUCAUAAAGGACAUCAAGAAACCAAAGUCCUGUUAGUUCAUGAUCCCUUUUCACAGGAGAAGUGUCCUAGAAUUUGUCCUGUGGUGACACUAAUUUUUGUUGUUGAAAUUUCUGCUGUUCCUGAUGUGUCAGGUAAGAGAGAUGUUAUCUCACUCGCUUUUCUGGUGAAAGCUCCAAUGUAUGUUGUCUUACAAAUCCAUGUUUUUACAAAAUCCAUAUUGAGAGAAGAGUCUAAGUCAGACAGUAACACUUGGUCCCCAUUCAGAACUCCGUGGCUGCCAGGCAGCCAUUCCUGUGUCUGUCUGGGAGGUGGACACUCUCUACGCACACCAGCAGCACACAGAUCUUAUGUACAGCUGCCAACACUGCUUUGCUAACCACAGGCUGGGUCUUUGAUGCUGUCUCAGCAGACAACAUUCUGAGCAGGGCUAUUUGGUGUCUUCUAAAUGCUGUAAAAUUACAGAUUAAUUUAUUGGUGCGUCUGUUCCAGGCUCACUGAGCAAACCAGAAGCUUUGGGAUACCUUUGUGGCCAGACAUUAUGGUAACAUUCUCCACUAGAGAAUGCAGGAGCCAGCACAAUUCUGUGUGGUUGGCAGGACAUACACAGAUGUAUCUGUGGUCUAAACCCAGUUCUGAGCCUGUUAUUUUUCUAACCUUGUGCAGCAGAAUGAUAAGCUGCACAGACAAAAUAGGCUCUGUGCUUCUCUGAGAGAAAAGGAGGAUAGGUUUCCUGCUGAGGAUGUAAGCCUUUGACUAUGACUGUAGUAGUGAAAUUUGCCUUUUCUCACAGUCCAGAAAAAAGUAAAAAAAAAAAAAGAAAAAAGAAAAAAAGAAAAAAAAAAGAAUAAUAGACAUUGAAAAAUGCACAUUAUUUCAAUAUAACUAAUACUUGAAGUAAGGUAAUAAAUAGAAAAACGUGUAAUUUGAAGGAAUAAGA
rnacentral:lncRNA from 1 species